GGUGCUCAUUCUCUCUACCAGGGUACGACAGGCAGGUGCAGCCGUACAGCUGUUUCUCAUCAGAGCAAUCACCUGAGGAGCUUCAAAAGCUGCUGAUACCUUGGAGGAACCGUCGGAUUGUUAACUCGUUCUAAGUGGUUGCUGACAACUGAACCCUGCCUUGGAUUCCACGUCAAGGUUCUGUUUCCUGUGAGCUGUCAGUGAACCUCCGCCCUGUUUAUACCUGCUGUGGUUCAGUCCCCUCCCAAACUGGUAAAUACUUUGAUGAAUUUUACCUCAGCAUGAGGGUCUCCCUGGAUCUCCUGAAGCAGAUUGCAGAAUCUCGCUCUCCAUGCUCUGCCUGUCCACCCUCCAACAACACUCGCCAACUGGAAAAGUUUGCCCGCACAUCAUACCGAUCUGCCAACCUCAGUCUCCGUGGCUUGACAGCUACGGAGUCCUGACACUCCCAGAAAACAUUCUCAAUAAACCUGUUCAAAUCA